rnacentral:misc_RNA from 1 species
AACCUUAUGGACCUGCGGGCGUAUACCUGCGGAGGGAUCAUUAGUGAUUUUAAACCAUGGCCGAGAGGCUGGGGCGCGCAAGAGGGUUGCCUUUCGAGGUGCUGCUCGGCCGUCCGAAUAUCUAACCAAAAACAAACUGUGCACGCCCUCGGGCAUUACAAACCAUUAGUAAUGAAUGUAAAACAAACAAGUUAAUACAACUUUCAACAACGGAUCU